rnacentral:lncRNA from 1 species
AUUUCCCGCUUGGAGUCCAGAGUAUUACUACGGUAUUCCAUAAGAAAACAAGGGAUCAUUGGCCCCCCAUUCUUAUCGGGGGAGGCACCUUACGAGCGAUAUAUUCUACACCUUUUCGUGAGUGCAUCUAUGUACAGCUCAUGUUUGAAUGUAUAAACUGUACUUCACUAUUUGUAUAUCUCUGUGUUCCUUUUAGAUUCAUUUCCAGCCGUAUCCCGAAGCUUUGUGUGUUUUUGGUUAUUUAAACCAGCUGCUGAUUUUACCCAGCAGACAGGUACACUUUAAACUUCUUCCAGAGCCUCUUCAGCCUGUCCUUCGUCAUCAACCAAAUUCAGGUUGCGACUCCCCAAGCCUGGCAUUAUUAAUUUACCAAACUUGCUGGCGCUGGAAACCCACAGCAGUGACAAAAUGAAAAACACAACACAACACAACACAAACACCAAUCCUAGAACAGAACCAUUGGGGAGGGUGGGUGGGGAAAAACACUGCAAGGCUCCCUAGCAUUGUUCACCAGUAGUCUGGUAAUUUUCCCAGAAUUCUAAGCUUCAAACUGAAAACCAACUGUAUUAAUUUAGUUGCUAUGCCAAUCCCUCAAGGCAGCAAUCAUGCUCCCCCCCCUAUUCGCUCCAGUGUUUGGCCUUUCUUUUAUAGAGCAGGCAUUAGCUUCAGAGGGGUUGUAUGUAAGAAACUGACAUGAGUUACUGUCAUGAACAAUGGUACACUGAACUGACAUUAAGAGAUAUAUUGUAUUCCAAUUCUGAAUUAAAGCAAAAAUGGGUAACCAAAACAUUGUUAAUACUUGCCCUUUGGUUGUCUGAUUGAACGAUCAAAAUAAGUAAAGCAUAAGGGUGGCUGAGUGGUUAAGGCAUUGGACAAAUGUCCCACCUGGGUUCAAACCCCACUCCUGGUACAUGGUGUCUUCAAAUACCAAUGAUGGUUUAACCAUCUCAAAUAUUAUUGAUCUCCCUAAAUUUGGGAAAUUUUCACUAAAAGCCACAUACUUGAAAAUUAGUGCAUACGUAUUCUACUCAACCAAUAUCAAAUUCAGAAACAAACUUCAAAGCCAUAAAAACCAGACAGGAUAUUUGUUGCAACUAUUUGCCUAAAUAUAACCAAAAAUCUAACCAAAAAAGGCUUCUGUGCAAUAAGCUGGUUUUAAUCCUUGGUACCAAAUAAACAGUUAUUCCACAGAGAAUUGACCCAUUUCGAGAAGCUCUGUUCCUUCAACAACUUGUGAAGGGCAUAUCUACCCUAUACACUCUCCUAUCAUACUCAGCCUCAGACUUACUUCUGGCAUACAAUGCAAAAUAGGUAUCAGAUAUGAACCAAAUGCUCACAGAAUAAGUGUUGGAGAAAAGUUUUAUCUUUACACAUCAAAGCUCCAUCUGCUCAAAGAUCCAAGAGACGGGUUACAAACUCUUGACACACUGGUACCGGACCAUGGACAAAUUGCGCUGUAUCAACUCUGAGAUAACUGAUGUGUGCUGGAGAUAUAGGAGGGGGUUCAGGACAGGGUUCCACAUAUGGUGGACGUGCCUACAGAUAGAACCUUAUUAGAAGCUAAUUCAUGCCACCAUUAAUAAAUUUAAGGAAGCAAACCUCCCAUUCCAACCUCUCCCAAUCUUGUUGCGCCAUACCAAUCUUUCUAUAUCUCGCUAUAAAAAAUCACUCACAAAACACCUCUUGAACGCAGCUAAAGUGCUUAAGCCCCUACUCUGGAAAUGAACCAAGUGUCUUUCAGGAAUGGAUGCUAAAGGUGGAAGAAAUACCAAAGGGGAAGUAUGGAAUCCCUGACGGCACAACUACGAGGCACUGUGAACAAAAAUACGCUCUGUCAGUAUAUUUAUAUCGGCAGACAUUUUGUGUUAAGACAGAAAUUAAAAGUGUAUACUGCCAGUCACUCUCAGAACAGAGGUGACUCCAUUUUGUAUUACAAGGCUAAGACAGACACAAGAUUUCUCUCUGUAACUCUAUUCAUUCAAGUCUGAGAUAAGGAAUGCACUUAUGUAAACAUUAGAGAUAAAACAAGUGAUAAGGCAGGAUGACUAACAGGCAAAAGGGGGAUGGAAUACUACAAACAACCCAGAGACAAAUAUAUACAUAUAUAUACACAUAUACACACUAUCCACUUAUAAUUUACUAUUAUUAUAUUAAUCAUGUAUAAUUAGUAUCAUGUUAAUAAUAUAGACUAUUCAUGGAUAAAUAUCAAUGAAGAAAUAUCAUAUUAUUUACUAAUGUUAGUGGAGUAUAAAUAAUCUUAAACACAGUUUCACACAGGAAACCCAGACCAAUGACAGAUAACACUAAGUAAUUCAUUUUACUUUCUAAAAAAAAAGAAAGAUAGCUGAAAAUGACGUAAAAAGCAUCACCAAUUUCAGUUAACCCAUUUUGUAAAAAGGCAAAUGGACCCCCUGACAAGAAUUUUUGGUGAUAUAAUUGCGCCACCUACUGACCAAAAACUAGAUGAUAGUCUGUAGGGAAGACACACCUACAGUUCCCUAUUGGUCCUAUCAAUUAGUGACGUGCAGAAAGUUUUCCCUUUAAAAAGUAAGGACAAAGGGAAGAUUUAAGCUCUUUGGGGGAUUCAGCUCUUUGGGACGUUCAUACACUCUUUGAACAACAUUCGAACUCUCCUUGAAACAUAUUCUGACUCUUGGACCGUACUCACUUGGACACCUAAUUCUCACUAUUACCUUUCCCAACUAACAAAAUUUCAGAACUAUUCCAUACAAAUACAUCAUGCUUGCAUUCAAAUUCCUGGGACAUAUCUACACAUCUGAGAGAAAAUCUACAACCUAACUGGUAAUUAUGCUGGUUUUAUUUAUUAAAUAAAAUUAAUACAUUUUUACUAAUAGCAGGAAUAUAUAUAUAUAUAUAUAUAUAUAUAUAUAUAUAUAUGGAUAAAUAUUGGUCAGAUUUCAAUCAUUAGAAAUCAUAAUUAGCAAAGGAAUAUAUGGUUAUAAAAAUGCCAUUCCUGCAGGUGGCAUAAAGAUAACAAUAUAUUAACAGUAAAUUGGCCAGAUGUUAGCACAUUAAAUUUUAUCCAGGUAUUGACUUGUUCUGAUAUAAGAUAGUGAAUCUUAUUUAGGAAAGUUAAAAUUUGGCAAACGUAAAAACCUGGUAGAAUUAUUCUUAUUGGAUGGUCCUAGGAAUGGUCAAGUGAUAUGGUAUGAACAUUACUUUAAUUGUAAAAUUGCAACAUAAUAGGAUAUCUUGCCUAUGAGGAUUGUAGCCAGCAGUGGAAGGGUUCAUUUAGUGUGAUUUGACUAACAGCCAAAGUUUAUUGCUAUAUGCUGUGCUGUUAAGUUCUGCUUUCUGUGUGAAGUUGGUUUCUAAACAGUGUCCUGUUGUAAAUCUUAAACUGUUGACAACUGGUUGCUUUUAGCUGUCUGUAUUGUGUUGUGAAAUUGUUGCCAUAUUGUAUAAUUAUGUUAUACUAAUUAUUCACUGAUUGUCAUGCAUGUUAUAUAUUAUUAUUAUUUUUAUUAUUGUCACAAUAAAUAAUAUUUUCAUAAUUAAA